rnacentral:rRNA from 1 species
CGCGUAGGAAUAUACCUAGUAGUGGGGGAUAACAUGGAGAAAUUCAUGCUAAUACCGCAUAUGUCCCAUGGGAUAAAGAGGGCCUCUUCUUGAAAGCUCUUGCUAUUAGAUUAGCCUGCGUCGGAUUAGCUUGUUGGUGGGGUAAUGGCCCACCAAGGCGACGAUCCGUAGCUGGUCUGAGAGGAUGAUCAGCCACACUGGGACUGAGACACGGCCCAGACUCCUACGGGAGGCAGCAGUGGGGAAUAUUGGACAAUGGGGGCAACCCUGAUCCAGCAAUACCUCGUGUGUGAAGAAGGC